rnacentral:rRNA from 1 species
GGGUUGUGAGGUUAAGCGACUAAGCGUACACGGUGGAUGCCCUGGCAGUCAGAGGCGAUGAAGGACGUGCUAAUCUGCGAUAAGCGUCGGUAAGGUGAUAUGAACCGUUAUAACCGGCGAUUUCCGAAUGGGGAAACCCAGUGUGUUUCGACACACUAUCAUUAACUGAAUCCAUAGGUUAAUGAGGCGAACCGGGGGAACUGAAACAUCUAAGUACCCGAGGAAAAGAAAUCAACCGAGAUUCCCCCAGUAGCGGCGAGCGAACGGGGAGCAGCCCAGAGCCUGAAUCAGUGUGUGUGUUAGUGGAAGCGUCUGGAAAGGCGCGCGAUACAGGGUGACAGCCCCGUACACAAAAAUGCACAUAUUGUGAGCUCGAUGAGUAGGGCGGGACACGUGGUAUCCUGUCUGAAUAUGGGGGGACCAUCCUCCAAGGCUAAAUACUCCUGACUGACCGAUAGUGAACCAGUACCGUGAGGGAAAGGCGAAAAGAACCCCGGCGAGGGGAGUGAAAAAGAACCUGAAACCGUGUACGUACAAGCAGUGGGAGCACGCUUAGGCGUGUGACUGCGUACCUUUUGUAUAAUGGGUCAGCGACUUAUAUUCUGUAGCAAGGUUAACCGAAUAGGGGAGCCGAAGGGAAACCGAGUCUUAACUGGGCGUUAAGUUGCAGGGUAUAGACCCGAAACCCGGUGAUCUAGCCAUGGGCAGGUUGAAGGUUGGGUAACACUAACUGGAGGACCGAACCGACUAAUGUUGAAAAAUUAGCGGAUGACUUGUGGCUGGGGGUGAAAGGCCAAUCAAACCGGGAGAUAGCUGGUUCUCCCGAAAGCUAUUUAGGUAGCGCCUCGUGAAUUCAUCUCCGGGGGUAGAGCACUGUUUCGGCAAGGGGGUCAUCCCGACUUACCAACCCGAUGCAAACUGCGAAUACCGGAGAAUGUUAUCACGGGAGACACACGGCGGGUGCUAACGUCCGUCGUGAAGAGGGAAACAACCCAGACCGCCAGCUAAGGUCCCAAAGUCAUGGUUAAGUGGGAAACGAUGUGGGAAGGCCCAGACAGCCAGGAUGUUGGCUUAGAAGCAGCCAUCAUUUAAAGAAAGCGUAAUAGCUCACUGGUCGAGUCGGCCUGCGCGGAAGAUGUAACGGGGCUAAACCAUGCACCGAAGCUGCGGCAGCGACGCUUAUGCGUUGUUGGGUAGGGGAGCGUUCUGUAAGCCUGCGAAGGUGUGCUGUGAGGCAUGCUGGAGGUAUCAGAAGUGCGAAUGCUGACAUAAGUAACGAUAAAGCGGGUGAAAAGCCCGCUCGCCGGAAGACCAAGGGUUCCUGUCCAACGUUAAUCGGGGCAGGGUGAGUCGACCCCUAAGGCGAGGCCGAAAGGCGUAGUCGAUGGGAAACAGGUUAAUAUUCCUGUACUUGGUGUUACUGCGAAGGGGGGACGGAGAAGGCUAUGUUGGCCGGGCGACGGUUGUCCCGGUUUAAGCGUGUAGGCUGGUUUUCCAGGCAAAUCCGGAAAAUCAAGGCUGAGGCGUGAUGACGAGGCACUACGGUGCUGAAGCAACAAAUGCCCUGCUUCCAGGAAAAGCCUCUAAGCAUCAGGUAACAUCAAAUCGUACCCCAAACCGACACAGGUGGUCAGGUAGAGAAUACCAAGGCGCUUGAGAGAACUCGGGUGAAGGAACUAGGCAAAAUGGUGCCGUAACUUCGGGAGAAGGCACGCUGAUAUGUAGGUGAAGUCCCUCGCGGAUGGAGCUGAAAUCAGUCGAAGAUACCAGCUGGCUGCAACUGUUUAUUAAAAACACAGCACUGUGCAAACACGAAAGUGGACGUAUACGGUGUGACGCCUGCCCGGUGCCGGAAGGUUAAUUGAUGGGGUCAGCGCAAGCGAAGCUCUUGAUCGAAGCCCCGGUAAACGGCGGCCGUAACUAUAACGGUCCUAAGGUAGCGAAAUUCCUUGUCGGGUAAGUUCCGACCUGCACGAAUGGCGUAAUGAUGGCCAGGCUGUCUCCACCCGAGACUCAGUGAAAUUGAACUCGCUGUGAAGAUGCAGUGUACCCGCGGCAAGACGGAAAGACCCCGUGAACCUUUACUAUAGCUUGACACUGAACAUUGAGCCUUGAUGUGUAGGAUAGGUGGGAGGCUUGGAAGUGUGGACGCCAGUCUGCAUGGAGCCGACCUUGAAAUACCACCCUUUAAUGUUUGAUGUUCUAACGUUGACCCGUGAUCCGGGUUGCGGACAGUGUCUGGUGGGUAGUUUGACUGGGGCGGUCUCCUCCUAAAGAGUAACGGAGGAGCACGAAGGUUGGCUAAUCCUGGUCGGACAUCAGGAGGUUAGUGCAAUGGCAUAAGCCAGCUUGACUGCGAGCGUGACGGCGCGAGCAGGUGCGAAAGCAGGUCAUAGUGAUCCGGUGGUUCUGAAUGGAAGGGCCAUCGCUCAACGGAUAAAAGGUACUCCGGGGAUAACAGGCUGAUACCGCCCAAGAGUUCAUAUCGACGGCGGUGUUUGGCACCUCGAUGUCGGCUCAUCACAUCCUGGGGCUGAAGUAGGUCCCAAGGGUAUGGCUGUUCGCCAUUUAAAGUGGUACGCGAGCUGGGUUUAGAACGUCGUGAGACAGUUCGGUCCCUAUCUGCCGUGGGCGCUGGAGAACUGAGGGGGGCUGCUCCUAGUACGAGAGGACCGGAGUGGACGCAUCACUGGUGUUCGGGUUGUCAUGCCAAUGGCACUGCCCGGUAGCUAAAUGCGGAAGAGAUAAGUGCUGAAAGCAUCUAAGCACGAAACUUGCCCCGAGAUGAGUUCUCCCUGACUCCUUGAGAGUCCUGAAGGAACGUUGAAGACGACGACGUUGAUAGGCCGGGUGUGUAAGCGCAGCGAUGCGUUGAGCUAACCGGUACUAAUGAACCGUGAGGCUUAACCUUACAACGCCGAAGCUGUU